CCUCUCGCGAGAGGUGCGGCCUCUCUUCCUUUUGCUGCGGCCCGGCAAGAUGCCUUCCAGGUUGAGGAAGACCAGGAAACUCAGGGGUCAUGUGAGCCACGGCCAUGGCCGUAUUGGUAAACACAGGAAACAUCCUGGAGGCCGUGGUAAUGCUGGGGGUAUGCACCACCACAGGAUUAAUUUUGA